rnacentral:sRNA from 1 species
UCCAAAUCCUUGUUUCACAUUGAAUGUUUUAAAAAUGAAUUUGAAAUUCAGUAUCUAUUCACCCCAUGACCUAAGAGUAUACAGAGGAACCAGUUAGAAAUGACCAGUUGAGGGUAGAGUGUUUAAUUGAGAAGUCAGCACAUACUGGCAGCUCUUAAACCAAAUAUUGGCUCGUUUAACUUGAAAUUUUCCAAGUUCUUCGAUUUGAUUUGUCUAAUGGAACAAAUUGAUGUUACCUUGAAGUGGUAUGAGGACCUGAUACCUUCAGUCUACUUUCCCCACUCCCAAACAUUGAUACAUCUUCUCCAAGCAUUGGAUGUGGCCAAUCGGCUAGAAAUGAUUCCUAAAAUUUGGAAAGAUAGUAAAGAAUAUGGUCAUACUUUCCGCAGCGACCUGAGAGAAGAGAUCCUGAAGCUCAUGGCAAGGGACAAGCACCCACCAGAGCUUCAGGUGGCAUUUGCUGACUGUGCUGCUGAUAUCAAAUCUGCGUAUGAAAGCCAACACAUCAGACAGACUGCUCAGGAUUGGCCAGCCACCUCUCU